rnacentral:rRNA from 1 species
UACGUAGGUGGCAAGCGUUGUCCGGAAUUAUUGGGCGUAAAGCGCGCGCAGGCGGUCCUUUAAGUCUGAUGUGAAAGCCCACGGCUCAACCGUGGAGGGUCAUUGGAAACUGGGGGACUUGAGUACAGGAGAGAAGAGUGGAAUUCCACGUGUAGCGGUGAAAUGCGUAGAGAUGUGGAGGAACCCCAGUGGCGAAGGCGACUCUUUGGCCUGUAACUGACGCUGAGGCGCGAAAGCGUGGGGAGCAAACAGG